UGCGAGCGUUGUCCGGAAUUACUGGGCGUAAAGAGCUCGUAGGUGGUUUGUCGCGUCGUCUGUGAAAUUCCGGGGCUUAACUCCGGGCGUGCAGGCGAUACGGGCAUAACUUGAGUACUGUAGGGGAGACUGGAAUUCCUGGUGUAGCGGUGAAAUGCGCAGAUAUCAGGAGGAACACCGGUGGCGAAGGCGGGUCUCUGGGCAGUAACUGACGCUGAGGAGCGAAAGCAUGGGGAGCGAACAGGAUUAGAUACCCUGGUAGUCCAUGCCGUAAACGGUGGGCGCUAGGUGUGGGUUUCCUUCCACGGGAUCCGUGCCGUAGCUAACGCAUUAAGCGCCCCGCCUGGGGAGUACGGCCGCAAGGCUAAAACUCAAAGGAAUUGACGGGGGCCCGCACAAGCGGCGGAGCAUGUGGAUUAAUUCGAUGCAACGCGAAGAACCUUACCUGGGCUUGACAUAUACAGGAUCGCGCCAGAGAUGGUGUUUCCCUUGUGGCUUGUAUACAGGUGGUGCAUGGUUGUCGUCAGCUCGUGUCGUGAGAUGU
rnacentral:rRNA from 1 species